UGGGGAUUAGUCAAACGGUAAGACAGCAGAAUUUGACUCUGUAAUGUGCCGGUUCGAAUCCGGCAUCCCUAG
rnacentral:tRNA from 1 species